rnacentral:rRNA from 1 species
AUUGAACGCUAGCGGGAUGCUUUACACAUGCAAGUCGAACGAGUGGCGGACGGGUGAGUAAUAUAUCGGAACGUGCCCAGUGGCGGGGGAUAACUACUCGAAAGAGUGGCUAAUACCGCCUACUAUUGGAUCGGCCGAUAUCGGAUUAGCUAGUUGGUGGGGUAAAGGCUCACCAAGGCAACGAUCCGUAGCGGGUUUGAGGGGACGACCAGCCACACUGGGACGGAGAAACGGCCCAGACUCCUACGGGAGGCAGCAGUGGGGAAUUUUGGACAAUGGGGGAAAGCCUGAUGCAGCCAUCCCGCGUGUAUGAGAAGGCCUUCGGGUUGUAAAGUACUUUUGGCGGGGAAGCGGUAUCUGCAGAAUAAGCACCGGCUAACUACGUGCCAGCAGCCGCGGUAAUAC